rnacentral:tRNA from 1 species
GUUUAUAUAGUUUAAUAUUAAAACAUUAUAUUUUCAUUAUAAAAAAAAGAAUUUUUCUCUUUAUAAAUU